UUAUCUGUAACGUAGUAAACACAUGAAUUAAUCAUAAAGCACUAAGUACAACGCAAAUGUGUCUGUAGGCAGUACAAAUUAGUCAUCGGAGACAUUAAUAAUACUACAAGUCCAUUGUGAAAUUCAUUUGACGCAUAAAAGGGUGCAGGAUGUAGGGGCGUUGGUGAUCUGCCGCCUGCCUGCUUUUGCACCGCUGCUGCUGGUGACUGCUGGUUUUGCAAUUCUUGUGCGUAGUGUUUAUUAAUUACUUUGAAGACAACACCGAACGCACCCUUAGCCACGAGAUGUACAAUGUGGAAGUGUUCGUUGCGACUGGCCUCCUUAAAGUGUGAACUGAAUAUGGCAUUGGUGAGCGGCGUGUGCCAUUGAGUUUUGGAUCGCCGCUGCUGAGCUGAAGUUAAACUGCAAAUAAUAAACAUUAAACUACAUUAACAACAAUAAACGAGUUUACAUGAAUAUUAAAAAAGAAAAUAAUAAUUUCUUUUGCAUUGUAUUGAAAAACAA